rnacentral:tRNA from 1 species
GCGCCCGUAGCUCAGGUGGAUAGAGCAGCAGAUUUCUAAUCUGCCGGUCGGUGGUUCGAGUCCACCCGGGCGCGCCA